UUUAACUGAAGAGUUUGAUCAUGGCUCAGAUUGAACGCUGGCGGCAGGCUUAACACAUGC
rnacentral:rRNA from 1 species